UACGGGGGGGCAAGCGUUGUUCGGAAUUACUGGGCGUAAAGGGCUCGUAGGCGGCCAACUAAGUCGGAUGUGAAAUCCCCAGGCUUAACCUGGGAACUGCAUCCGAUACUGGAUGGCUUGAAUCCGGGAGAGGAUGCGGAAUUCCAGGUGUAGCGGUGAAAUGCGGUAGAUAUCUGGAGGAACACCGGUGGCGAAGGCGGCAUCCUGGACCGGCAUUGACGCUGAGGAGCGAAAGCCAGGGGAGCAAAACGGGG
rnacentral:rRNA from 1 species